rnacentral:lncRNA from 1 species
CGACUGCCAAUCACUGGACUUACGUCAGACUCCACACAAACAGGCGAACAUGGAAACCGAAUGCCAAUCGCUGGACUUACAUCAGACUCCAACAAACAAACACACACAGGAAACCAACUGCCAAUCACUGGACUUAUGUCAGACUCCAACAAGCAAACAAGACACCGGAAACCAACUUCCAAUCGCUGGACUUAUGUCAGACUCCAAGCACACACAAAGGGGUUGAAAAAGCAAAAGGGCACCCGGAGAGAUCAUC